UUUUGUUGAAGGCCAGUACCACUACCGCCAGUCCCUUUUUUUUUUCUUGGGGAUAUUCAGAGCUCAGCGCUAAGAGAGAUAUGAGCGGUACUUCAGGUCUUCUUCAGCUAUGGCAAGUUCCGUCCUCAUCACUGUUUUUCGGCCGUUCCAAGCUUUCCAAAGGUCUGUACUUGGUUCCUGUACGUGUUUUGUAUCCAAUGUCAUGUUUUUGUAAGCAAAUGCAAACUACUACGUAUGCAAUUGCUAAAGGAAGCUAUGUAUCAAAUCCACAGAACCAACAAGAAAACAAAGAAAAAUUGACACCUAAGGUAGAAAAUGUAGGUGCAUUUCAAAAAUUACCCAUGGUAAUGCCGUCUGUAGAUAUUCUACAUUCAGCACUGAGGAAAGCAAGGAGGGUCUCGCCUACAAAGGGCAUUGCUAAUGCUGCAAAACGUGAGAGAAAUAAAGGCGCAAAACAACUUGACGCAUUAAUGAAGGAGUUGGCUGUGCCCUUGAGGACAUACAAAGAGAACUUCCCAAACAAAAAAUAUUUGCACCCUUAUGAACGAUCUUUGAUUGAGUUAACGCUCGGAGACGGAAACUAUGAAAAUGUAUUGGGAAAGUUAGAAGCUUUAAGGAAAAAGGUGGUAUCAGUUGGAAAGGAACAUGCAUCAUUAUGUGCUAAGUCAUUAUCUAAACGAGAAGCAGAGGAGCGACUGAAUGAGGGAUUGAAAAGAAUUGAGGAAAUAUUUGAUGGUGAUGGAAAAGCUGUUGAUGAACUAUUGAACAUUGCCAAGACAUUACGGGCAAUGCCAGUUGUCGAUCUGGAAACACCAACUCUCUGUCUUGUUGGUGCUCCCAAUGUCGGAAAAUCAUCUUUGGUUCGCGUACUUUCGACAGGGAAGCCUGAGAUCUGCAACUAUCCCUUCACUACUAGAGGAAUUCUGAUGGGUCAUAUUAAUUUGAGUUACCAGAAUUUUCAGGUUACUGAUACCCCUGGUAUCUUAAGGAGAUCUGAUGAGGAAAGGAAUAACUUGGAAAAGUUAACACUUGCUGUUCUCACUCAUUUGCCAACUGCAGUACUUUAUGUUCAUGAUUUAUCUGGAGAAUGUGGGAUGUCACCUUCUGAUCAGUUUGUGAUCUAUAAGGAAAUGCGAGAGAGAUUCAGCAGCCAUAUUUGGCUUGAUGUCGUGUCCAAAUGUGACUUACUGCAAGCAUCUCCUGUCAUCUUUGCAACAGAUGAUUGUAAUGUUGAUAACUUUGAGCUAAUGAGGUAUAGGAAGAUGGGACCUGAUGAAGCCCUAAAUGUGUCGGUAAAGAAUGAGAUUGGUCUUCAUGAGUUGAAGAAAAGAGUUUACGAGCUGCUUGUUUCUCAAUCAGAAAGGAUCAAAAAUCAAAAGAGCAAGGAGGAAGAGCUGGAAGUUCCAAGCUAGUUGGUCUUAUGAAUUCCUAACAGAUCUGUAACCUGCUAGAAAUUGGCUGCAGGUUUUUGCGCUUGGUAAUUAGCUGGAUCAUGUAUAUACACUUGUACAUUAGUGAGUCGAUCUGUAGUGACACUAACACACAUUUGCAGGUCCAAGAAUACAACAUGUUUCUUGGCGUAUUUCUCGGGCAGUUGGACAAUGAGGUCAGUCCUCUUUUGCUUCGCUCCAAAUCUCAUCUAUAAGAUAUUCAGAUCAUUUGUCAAAUGGUGCAGAUGGGGUUGCCAUAUAUGUCACAUUCCAUUCUGUAGCUUUUCAACAUUUUGGCAACUUGAUGCUUCCUCGACCAUGAUGGAGUCCAAACUACAAAGGAAGUCCGACAGAUGAAUUUCAAUGUCAUCUGAGGAGAAACUGCAAGUUUUACUGUUGUGGCCAGGUUUACCACAUUUUCUACAAUCAACUGAUUUUUGUUUCCGUUUUAACUUCAUCCUGCUAGCCCCUGGCUCAUCAUCUUCUUUCCUUCUUAAUUUUUGUUUCUUUCCUUUCUUCUUAUUAUUCAAGUAAGACAGUGGAAAUGGUGGAGGAUUCAGUGACUUAGGCCAUAAAUCAGGGCCAUUCAUGGGCAAUAUUGAAGCUUCAUAAAUUUUUC